AGCCCAUCCCCGCAGCAUCCGGCCCGCGCCCGCUCAAACUUUGCGGCCGCCGCUCCGAAGCGGGACAGCGAAUCGAUACGGCCGCGCCCGGCCUCGCUGGGAGCCGGGCUACAGGUUUCACCAGCCAUCGCUCGCAACAGCUUUGUCAUUUUCUAAAAAUAAGAAGCUAAAAGUUAUUGUAGAAGAAGGGGCUUUUUUUGUCCCCCACACAAUGUGCCUUUUGAAAGGAUGCAACAUUCCUCCAGUCCCAACAGAACCUCUGGUUUGAUUAAAUAAAUAUUUCUCUAGCCUUGCGGUAACAUUUUUCACUUUCUGCUCGGGUCCAUCUGCGAUUAUUAUUUAAAAUUUUUAUUUCCAGCAGCUUUUCCCUCCCCAUUCCAGCCCUAGCGAAAAAAUGUAGAUGAUCGUUGGGAAUGUGGGAUUUGAAUUUUAGGAGGACCAGUAAAGAACCUCUGUCCAGGCUUCAAGAAUAUGUUUUCUUCAUCUUUCUGUAACAGACUCUUAUUACUGGCAGAAAUGCAGCUGAAUUAACUCCUCUCUCUUGAAAAUCUAAAGAAGCUUUUCAAAUUGCUAUUUUUUUCUUUUCUUUCCUUUUUUUUUUUUUUUUUACCUUUUUAAUUUUUAUUUUUCCUAGUAACCCAAGUAAUUAACUUUCCGGUUUGUUUCAUAGCACUGAACAAGGAAUGCAGUUGCGGUCAGUUUUUCCAUUUGGGAGAACCUUAAUGUAGAUGUAUUUUAUACUGAAAGGUAAUAAACUGCAUGUUUGUUAGUAAGUAUUUGAGAUGAAAUGUAUCAUCUUUCCAGGUUUUUACGGUGGGGUUAGUCCUUUGGAAUUUUGACAAGUCCCUUUCGGUGGGAUGGGGGAAUGAAAGGUGAUCAGAAAUUGAAGAAGGGCUGUACUCGCUGAUAUGGUACUGUGUCUUGGGUUUGGAAAAGGUAUUCACAGGUUUUUAGACUCGAGGUUUAAUAUGUACCAUAGUUCUAUGAGUAUUAUAAAUGCAGCACUGAGGUGUACUGUUGUGAUGCGCAUGCUGUGCAUGAGUUCUGAUGGGUUGCUAGAUGCAUAGACUCCCGUAUGUUACCAGUUUGCCUUUAAAAGCUGCCCUUGAAAAUGUGUAAAAAUAUGCUUGUCUAGAUUUAUGGAAGAAUAAUUGUUAAAUUACUUGCCAUUCCAAAAAAUAAGAAAAAAGCAAAAAACAAACAAAACCAACCCCAACCAAAAAAAAUGGGGGGGGGGGGGGGGGGGGGGAGGGAUGGGGGAAAAGCCCAAACCAAAACCAACAUGCCUUGGGGCAGGUCAGAUUUUUCAGGGCUGCUUGGUGCGCUGUCUGUAAAGGUGCAUGUAAUUUGUAACUGUUGUUUGUGCUGAAUAUGAAACAAACGUGUUUAGAUGAUGAAGUUGAGGUGAGAAUAAAGUAACCCUUGUCUUUUGGUA